AGCUCCCUGGCGCGGGAGGUAGUUCACCGAAGCCUGGGAGUAGGGAAAGCGAGAGGGGUUUGAACUGGAAGAUGUCUGCGGGCCCUCUGAAGCCUGACACUGCACAUCCCCGCAGCUCCAGGCGAGACGUUAUUCCGGCAGCUUUCUGUUUAUUUAGGAAGGUGACCGGCUGGAGCGCUCGCAACAGACUGGUGUUUCCCUGGCCUGUCAGCAAGCGGUUUACUCACUUUCCCAGGCAAACCGGAAGGCGGACAGCGCCAGCAGGGAUGCACUGGGAUAGAGGAGGAAAAGCAGCCUGGAGGCCCAUGGCUCCAGCCAGAAACAGAGCUGUCUUGAGAGGGGCCGUUCCCUCAUCUUCCCCACCACCAAAACCCGAGGCAAUGGCAGAGUUCUGUGUGGACAUGGCCGGGUGAGGCCAUCUCAGUUUUUCUUAAAUUAGUGUGCUGUGUGUAUCCUGGACUCUCUUCUCAACUGUGUUGUAAACUAUUCAAGGUCAAAGCUGGUUUUUCUCUUCCUGUUCCUAGCAUCUGGCAUAGGCAGGUGUGAUUAUCUUCAGUCAAAUGAAUAAAUAACGCAAAACACUGG